rnacentral:lncRNA from 1 species
GGGAGGAACAGCAGCGUGAGCUGGAGGAAUCAGGGAAGACUUCUACGAGAUAUGAGACUUGGGCUGGCCCCUGGAAGGACAACAGGGAAGAGCAAUAAUCUCUAUAAAGACAGGGGCAGAGAUGAGUCUGUUCACGGCCUUGGAAGGUGGUAUUUUACAACAGGCAUAUGGUGCUGGCUUCGAUCAGAGAUCAUUUCCACUUGUGUGCCGCUUCUCAUGAUAAAUAAGAAACCCAUCAGAGAAGUAUCCUCGUGGGAAAACAGCCCAAUGCAAACCCUUGAUGGAUUACAUAGGAAUGGCUCUCCAUGAAAAUAAGUUCACCACAAAAUUUGAGCUAUCGUUAUAACAUCCUGAUUAUCUCAGAAUAAUAACUGUUUGGAGCCAUUGUGAUAUUCAUAAAGUAUCAGAGCUUUAACAAAAUGAAAACAUGCCAGAGAAUAAAUACCCUUCACAUUUUAUGGAACUACUCGAUUUGAAUAAAAUAAAC